rnacentral:rRNA from 1 species
UACGUAGGGUGCAAGCGUUGUCCGGAAUUAUUGGGCGUAAAGAGCUCGUAGGCGGCCUGUCACGUCGACUGUGAAAACCCAGGGCUCAACCCUGGGCCUGCAGUCGAUACGGGCAGGCUAGAGUGUGGUAGGGGAGACGUGGAAUUCCUGGUGUAGCGGUGAAAUGCGCAGAUAUCAGGAGGAACACCGGUGGCGAAGGCGGGUCUCUGGGCCAUAACUGACGCUGAGGAGCGAAAGCGUGGGGAGCGAACAGG